rnacentral:sRNA from 1 species
AAAAUACGUUUUCAAGGUUUAUUCUUCAAUUACUGAAAAGUUUUUAAAAGUAAAACAUAUUGUUACUCUCCAGGAUCCCAGUUAGUCCAGACCCUCCUUGGUGGUCUUUAUCAAAUACCGUACUCACCUUCCUGAUCCUUUUGCUGAAUCUCAUAUAAAGUUUUGUCACAGAACCUCAGAUUUUUCUUAAGGUUUUGUGUACCAUGCCAUGCCUGUGAAUUGCUAUCUUUGCUUUGUUUUUAUUUUUGUUUUUUUGUAAGAACUAGCCAACAGUUUGCUUUAGAGAUGCAAACUGCUUUGUAUUUUCAGAUCGACUUUCAAGAAUGUUGAAAAUGCUUUGCUCAUUCUUCUUUUCUCACUUCUUCCCUCUCAGGACCUAAAACAGGCACCACCCAGCCCAAUGGACAGAUUCCCCAGGCUACACAUUCUGUCAGUGCUGUUCUCCAAGAGGCCCAGAGACAUGCUGAAACAUCGAAGGAUAAGAAGCCAGCCCUCCGGAACCACCACGACCCGGCAGUGCCCCGGGCCCCGCACGCCCCCAAGUCCAGCCUGCCUCCGCCCCCUCCGGUGCGGAGGUCCUCGGACACCAGCGGCAGUCCCGCCACGCCCCCCAAGGCUAAGGGCACAGGCGGCGGGGGCUUCCCCGCUCCACCCGACGACUUCCUGCCGCCGCCGCCACCGCCGCCGCCCCUCGAUGACCCUGAGCUCCCGCCGCCGCCCCCGGACUUCAUGGAGCCGCCCCC